rnacentral:ncRNA from 2 species
UUUUCGCACUCUGGAGAGCGGCAGUAGUCCGUCGGCCCCGGCCGAGGCAGGCUGCCCACCGAAGGGGCGCGCGUUCGACGGCAGCCAUGGCAUGCCGGCAGCGCAAUCUCUCAGGUACCGAGGACAGAGGGGUCAUG